rnacentral:rRNA from 1 species
GACGUAGGGCGCGAGCGUUGUCCGGAUUUAUUGGGCGUAAAGAGCGUGUAGGCGGCCAGGUAGGUCUGCUGUGAAAACUCGAGGCUCAACCUCGAGACGCCGGUGGAAACCAUCAGACUAGAGUCCGGAAGAGGAGAGUGGAAUUCCUGGUGUAGCGGUGAAAUGCGCAGAUAUCUGGAGGAAUACCGGUGGCGAAGGCGGCAUCCUGGACCGGCAUUGACGCUGAGUGAGCGAAAGCCAGGGGAGCAAACGGG